UACGGGGGGGGCAAGCGUUGUUCGGAAUUACUGGGCGUAAAGGGCUCGUAGGCGGCCAACUAAGUCAGACGUGAAAUCCCUCGGCUUAACCGGGGAACUGCGUCUGAUACUGGAUGGCUUGAGUUUGGGAGAGGGAUGCGGAAUUCCAGGUGUAGCGGUGGAAUGCGCAGAUAUCAGGAGGAACACCGAUGGCGAAGGCAGAUCUCUGGGCCGUAACUGACGCUGAGGAGCGAAAGCAUGGGGAGCGAACAGG
rnacentral:rRNA from 1 species